rfam:Glossina morsitans morsitans, isolate Yale, WGS project CCAG01000000 data, contig: ctg10011649
ACAUAAGCGUGUAAGACACAUUGAUAGCCUUUUCUCGAGUCUGCGGAUUGUGGUGCAUGGCCGUUCCUAGUUCUUAUUACAAAUAGAUGUUUUAACGGUUAAGGUGUUGAAACUUUUAUGAAAUCUGUUUAUAAAAGUGGAGCCGUAUCUGUUAGUUUGUCCAUUUACAGGAGAAAAUAAUGCGAUUGAGCAAUGACAGCUCUGUAACGCCUUUAGAUGCCCUGGGCUGCACAAUGAACGUAUUAACAUGUAUUCCUUAGACCUAGUGAUCCGCAUAAAUCGCUGGACGACUUUCAGACUUGGAAUUGUGAAUUGAAACUGUUCGUUUGGAACUUCGAAUUCCCAGUAAGUGUGAGUCAUUAAUUCACAUUGAUUGCGUUCAUGGUCUUUGUGCACAUUACUGAUUUAGUGAGAUCACCG